GAGACACCCUUCUGGGGCAAGACUUGCUUCAGUGGGGCUUUGGUGCUCACUGAGUCUGCCCCCUGAAUGUGUCCCU
rfam:Myotis lucifugus cont2.2868, whole genome shotgun sequence.